CAGCAAUGUAUUUUAGCGCGCGCUUGAAAUUAAGGCUAUUUUGAAAGGGUUUUCUGAAUUAGGAUUUAGGAACUCCGUCACUCCCACGUUCCUCAUUAGAGAUGCUGUGAUUUUACCUCCAGUUGCCGACAUAUUGAUUUACACUCAGAAGAGAAAAGGAAAAUCGAUGAGGAGUGGAACGUCCGCAGGAUACGUCGCUGCUAUAUACCUUCAAUGCCUGUGACUCAGCACAUGACACCAGCAGAAACAGGCGGAUGAAAACAACCCAGCCGCACCUGGAGUGCUUUUGAGAAGGUUGAGGGGACACUGACCAUGAGGAACAACGGGACUACAAGCAGAAGAACGGCGGCUAAUAGUAUAUUAAAGUGCUACGUCAACUGCCUCUGCCUCAUCUGUCACAAGCAGAGCCAGUCUCCUGACAUAAUCAACCCAAGUCAGUGAACAUCCCUGUGUAAGCCUGUUCCCCGGUGUCCCUUUCCCAAAUGCCCAAGUCCUUGAGCAGCAGAACUAAUGAUGCCUGGUUUCCUAAAGCUUUGUGUCUCAGCUAUCCAAUGCAGUGCAAUUUCUAACCGCAGCAUUUUUGACAUUUAUGACAGUCAUGAUAGCUCUCCUGUAUGAAUUCUCUGCCAUUUAAUACAAGUUGGGCUCAUUCAUCUCCCAGUACAAGAACUGACCGGGUCCAUCUUCCAUGCCUUUUUUUGAAACUUUCAGAAAAUCAACAUAUUUAGGAGCAUUAUCCUACCAAAUUCCAUCCCAUCAAACAUGGCUGAAAUCGAUGGGCUAAAAAGUUACGAAGUGGGUGUGGGCAGGCAUGUACAUUUUCUGUGAAGACAUAUCUUUCUUCCCUGUGAAAAAAAGAUGAAUGAACUUCACAAUAUAUCUGAAAAAUAAGAAUCUGAAACUUUUGUAGACUAACUGUCUGACCUGUAAGGUCCUUCACCAGUCCUGUGCUGCCCCAUCCAAGAUCCGACGUGCACUGCAGGAGUGCAGGGAUGGUGGGAUGACGGCCACCGGCUUGGAAACCGCUGCGAGCUGGAAGUGCUGUGCAGGGGAGGAGAAACUGCCGCUGAAGGGGGAAACCGAUGGCCAGGGGCAGGACCCACCUAACCAGCUAUUCAGGUUUGCCGGAAGAAAUUAUUUAUCGGCCUGCGGGAAAAAAUUGGUACCUGGUUUGGAUCUUUUCCAGGGUAGAAGUGAUUUUAGGGACUUUCCCCAACCACACACGAUUUAUGAGGCGCAUACAGUAACAGCUAUGCCAAUAAAAAAUAAUGUGAAUAAAUCAGGCAUUAUCAACAGCCACGUGUUGCUACAGAUAAGACCGGGAUACGUAAGUUUUCUAAACUUGGAUGGGUUUCAUGCAGACUCGGGUAGUCUCUUCAGUUUUACCUACUGCUGGAACUUCAGCUGGGUGUUUUACUGAAGCCUUGACCGCACCUUUCAAAUUAGCUACCCGUAAACCCCCGGAAGAAAACCCAGGAGCAACUGCUACUCUUGGGAACCGUGCCUGCUCUUCUCCUGCCACAAGGCUCUGCUUUGCUGAGCAGAGGAGCCGUGCCUUGUCGGCAGCUCCCAGGCUGACCCUCGGGGUGCUCCGGGGGGCUCAUGGACCCCAAACCAUACCCAGCGGUGCGCAGCGGGGCACGAACCAAACCCACCAGCACGGGGAUCAUCACGGUCCUGCAUCCUGAGGUCCUCCCGGCUACCAGGGUGAGCGGGGAAGCUGCAAAGCCCCAGGCACGGGGAGAUGCAGUCUCCUCACAGCUGGGGCUUUCAGGCUUUCAAAAAUGACCCAGUUCCUGGGUUGGAUGCAAGUAAACAACAGCCUCUCUGCUAGGCUAUCGUCACUGGGACGGUUUGGUUUUUUUUUUUUCCUGAGCUCGUGGGUUGUUUUUUAACUCGAAGAGCACCAGAAGCAGGGAAAUAAAUGAGCGUGGUGCUGGACAGUGCGCUGACGACUGCUCGGACAUGUGCUCUCAGCAUCGCAGCCGGACCCGACAUUAGAAGGUGGCUCAGUGUGCCCUUCACGUCUCUGUGAAGCUGAAAGCUCGUGCAGGCUUGCCGUCAAAACCUGAAUUCUGCUCGUUUUUGUGAUAACUUUACAUUUAGCCCACAUUUGCAAAAAAAUCCACAUUUGGGACCAAACUGAAAAUUGGAUGUGCGGGUUGCAACACCCCAUUAACCUGCAGGGACGUGGGGUUUGAACAGAGAGAUGCCGAACCUCCCACGGGUGACCCUGCAGGGACAGCAGCAGCCCUCCGAUAAGCAUCAUCCCCUCCAAUGGCAAAAUUUGCCCAUGUGGACAGAUGGGGAGGGUCUUCCAGAUCUGCUCUGGAGCAACCCGAAAUUGGGCAGGGGGUGGCGUCGCAAGCUAGCAUCAAAAUCAGGACUGUAAAUCCAGGAUGUCUCUCUUGCCCGUGGCAGAGAUUAAGUGCCAGGUGCAGAAUCUGAAGCCCUGCUAAAACUUUCCUGUUUAGUCUAACUAUCCUACAUAACAGUUUUGGUUGAGCCCUUCAAAGUAACCUUCAAAGCACAAAGUGCUUUCUUCAAAAGUGCAAAAAGAAAAUAAUUUAAAAUUAUACUACAAGUACAAAAUGAAAGCAAGGUUAAUAUUUAAGGGUGUCUGCAUGACUGAAGAAUUGUUUUUAAAACUGAAAUUUAGGAGACCAUAAAUCCAGUAAUAAGGUGUACUGUCUUAGGCAUAUUGGGGGAGAAAUCACAGUAUUUAUUUAGAAAUGCCAUUCAUUGACCAUGUUAAUUGUUUUGGGAUUUCUCUGAGUAUAACCUCACAACAAAUUUUAGCAUGUGUAUUUUUAGUGUUUAUGGCUGGCAGCUGGGUGACAGAAUAGACAAUAUUAUUACGGAUUAUAAGAUCAAUAAUCCACACGCUAAGAAGGAUUUCUGUAAGAGACUGUAACCUCUUAAGCUUCAAUAAAUAACAUGUAACAGAGGACAGAAAUAACAGACAUUGUCUAAAUAAAAACAACAACAUUUUUCUAUACCAGAAAGGAAAAUAAUACAUGUAAUAUUAAAAUCAAAAUGCAUUUUUUAAAAAGGUAAAUAGAAUGUAUACAGUUGCUUUUCUAAGAGGUUUAAGUACAUAUUUGCAUGAAUUGAAAUAUGUUUUGAGGCCUGAAAGAUCAGAACAAAAGGAGCUUUUCUUGUCUCUGUCCAUUUUAUCAGCUUCCAUGAUAAAAAAGAAUAUUUUUUUUUUCCCUGUUUGAAGCUCAAAUCACAAUCCCUGAGGGAAUUCAUGAGGCAGCGGAGGAGGUGAAAAUAACCUCUACAUUUGAAUACUAUGAAAGCCGAAACAUCAGAAAGGAACAGCUACAGCCUCCAGAGAUUCGACCGGCAUGUGACGAGUCAGUCAACAGGAAAUUAUUUACAGUUUGAUUUUUAAUUACUUGUGAUAACACAAAUGACUGAAAAAUUGUAAUCCAAGGACAAACCUCCCCCUCACUGAGAAAUAUUCGGAUCAUUUAACACUGUGUUGCCACAUACUUCUUAUUUACAAACCAACCAGUCAAACCAGGUUAAACUUCUCUGGUUUUCUUUUGUUUGCUUUCCCAUUCUGUGCGUACAGGAAACCCUGAGCUCCGAACAAAACCACAGCAGAUGACAUUUUCUGCAGGACCUCCCCACAUCUCAGGCACCACCAGGGAGUGACCCGCGGGCUGAGAACCUGCCGUCCGCACCGAAUAUCGCAAUGCUGUCCUUGGGAUGCAAAGAGCUGCAGGCUGCACGGUGCUAACGCUUUUGGCCUUAAUCCAGCAACACAUUUAAGCUUGUGUUUACCAUUCAACACCUGAGUUGGCCCGUGGGCUUCGGCUGGAUUACCCGUGUCAGAGUGCUCUGCUGGAUGACAGCCAGAGCGCUCGGCACCGUGCUCCGGUUUCAAGGAGGAAGAGCACGGAGAAAGUUCAUCUGCUUGGUGGUGAUUAACAAAUGCCAAAGAUGCUCCAGCUCUUUUUCUUAAUUGCUGGCCUGAUUUAUUGCCUCCUGCAGUCAAUGGAAGGAUCCCUUUGGUCUUAAUGUGAUUACACAAGGCUCCACAUGAUUAGCUAGCUAAACCUGUGACUCUUCUGGCUUUUCCGGUGAAAUGUCAUUGCUAGCUGAUGUAAAUCUGGAUUGUUCCAUCAUUUCACUAGUUUGCUCCAUCCCCUACUUUCCAAUGGAUAAUGGAUGGUGCCAAUAGAUGCCCUCUUUAUAGGCUUAACAAAGGCAUCGUUAUAGUAAAACCCACUUGUCAACAUAAUUUCUUUUCUUGUUUUGGUUUCUUCAGUUCCUCUGAAACAACAUGUCCGGCUUUGAACAGGAGUGUGUUUGUAAAUACUCUUGCAGAGUGCUGUUAUAAGUAGUUUAUAGUUCAGUAGGAUACUUCUUGCAUCCAGUUCUUCUUCUCAGGAUACGACCACUAAUGCGAUUCACCCCCCGUUGAUUAUGUCAUUGUUUCAGCCAGCGGGUAAUUAGGGUUGGAAACCCUGGUGAUUCUUCCCGUUCGGACAGCUCUGAGUUGGCUGAUAAUUUUGGUGAUGGGAAUAUCUUCAGGAGUUCUUCUGGCGUGGAUGCAUAUUGCCUUCCACUCAUCUUUUGCCUGGAGGAUUGAAUUAUCACCUUUCUUCUUUCACACCAAAGGGUAAGGGGUCAGUCGCCUCUCUGUAGUUUCAAAGCAAAGGUGGGGAUUUCUCCCCAGAUGCUCAUAUCCGCAGUCUACGCCUGCAGGCCCCCAGAAGACACUUGCUGGCUCCCAGCUGGGUCGGCAGCCCAUCUGGCAGCCUUCGUCCGUCCAU